rnacentral:rRNA from 1 species
UACGGGGGGAGCAAGCGUUGUUCGGAUUUACUGGGCGUAAAGGGCGCGUAGGCGGCGCGACAAGUCACUUGUGAAAUCUCCGGGCUUAACCCGGAGCGGCCAAGUGAUACUGUCGUGCUAGAGUGCGGAAGGGGAUACUGGAAUUCUCGGUGUAGCGGUGAAAUGCGUAGAUAUCGAGAGGAACACCUGCGGCGAAGGCGGGUUGCUGGGCUGACACUGACGCUGAGGCGCGAAAGCUAGGGGAGCAAACGGG